rnacentral:rRNA from 1 species
AGUGAACGCUGGCGGUAGGCCUAACACAUGCAAGUCGAACGGCAGCACAGUAAGAGCUUGCUCUUACGGGUGGCGAGUGGCGGACGGGUGAGGAAUACAUCGGAAUCUACUUUUUCGUGGGGGAUAACGUAAGGAAACUUACGCUAAUACCGCAUACGACCUACGGGUGAGAGCAGGGGAUCUUCGGACCUUGCGCGAUUGAAUGAGCCGAUGUCGGAUUAGCUAGUUGGCGGGGUAAAGGCCCACCAAGGCGACGAUCCGUAGCUGGUCUGAGAGGAUGAUCAGCCACACUGGAACUGAGACACGGUCCAGACUCCUACGGGAGGCAGCAGUGGGGAAUAUUGGACAAUGGGCGCAAGCCUGAUCCAGCCAUACCGCGUGGGUGAAGAAGGCCUUCGGGUUGUAAAGCCCUUUUGUUGGGAAAGAAAAGCAGCAGGUUAAUACCCCGCUGUUCUGACGGUACCCAAAGAAUAAGCACCGGCUAACUUCGUG